CAAAAUCAGUUUCUUGUUUCUGGUUAUUGUCUGACUAUUAUAGCUCUAUAUAAUAACACUGUCUCUGAAUCUUCUGAAGCUGUAAAGUGCUGUUGUGUUUGGUUGUUGCAGGUGUGUUCGUACUGUCACAUGGUUGGUGCCACUUUGGGAUGUUUCUUCAAAGAUUGCCCAAAUAAGUACCACUUCCCCUGUGCCCUGCAGUCAGACAGUGCGCUCAACGAGGAGAACCUAACGAUAAGAUGCCCGAAGCACAAGAAUAAAACAUCCAGAGUGAGCGUUAGCAGGCUGAAGAACAGAUGACAUUUGGAAGGUGCUGAAAUGUCUUUGAAGGUAUUUUACUGCACUACUCACACCUUUAUUAAGCCUUAGACUUUUUAUUUUGCCUUAGACAUUUUUAAUCCGAAGUAUGACAUUAGUUAUGUUUUGUGUGCAGGCCUUAUUAGGA
ensembl:lncRNA